UAGGGAAAGGAGAGAAGGACGUCGGAGAAGAUAACUGGAGGCAGUCCCGUUGAGCACUCCUUCAAGAACAAGGGUACUGUGAAGACACGCAGACCCUUCCUCUAGUGCCAAUUCUGUUGGUGUAGAAUUCCAUCGAAGUUGGAGUUGCUAGAGUUGAGAUGACUGCAGUCACCGUCGGAACCUGCAAGGAAAGUCUAAACCGGAGUUGGGGGUGCUCCGGCAAGACCCUCUGAUGCUCAAGUCUGUACUC
rnacentral:lncRNA from 1 species